GGAUGAGAUAGAGGCAACCCUGAUCCAGCCAUGCCGCGUGUGUGACGAAGGCCUUAGGGUUGUAAAGCACUUUCGGCUGUGAAGAUAAUGACAGUAGCAGAAGAAGAAGCUCCGGCUAAAUUCGUGCCAGCAGCCGCGGUAAUACGAAUGGAGCGAGCGUUGUUCGGAAUCACUGGGCGUAAAGCGUGCGCAGGCGGUCAUGAAAGUUAGAAGUGAAAGCCCAGGGCUUAACCCUGGAAUUGCUUUUAAA
rnacentral:rRNA from 1 species